rnacentral:lncRNA from 1 species
UGGGCACUUUUGCAUGGUAUGUAGUUAAUCCAAUGUAGUAUGUAGUUAUUCUAGAAUGUAUAUAGUUUAUUUAUCAUAGUACAUAGCUAUUCUAACAUGGUUUAUAGUUAUUCUAGCAUGACGUAUGGUUAAUAUAGAAUAGUAUAUAGUUAUCACAAUAUACAAUUAAUUUAACAUUGUAUACAGUUAAUCUAGCAUAGAUUAACUAUAAAUCAGAGUAAAAUAACUACGUAUCAUAUUUAUUUAAUGGUAUAUCAUAUUAAAUUAAUUAUAUAUCAUG